rnacentral:misc_RNA from 1 species
GAUGAAGAACGCAGCGAAAUGCGAUAAGUAGUGUGAAUUGCAGAAUUCAGUGAAUCAUCGAAUCUUUGAACGCACAUUGCGCCCCUUGGUAUCACGAGGGGCAUGCCUGUUCGAGCGUCAUUUCACCACUCAAGCCUGGCUUGGUGUUGGGCGACGUCCUCUUUGGGGACGCGCCUCGAAACGCUCGGCGGCGUGGCACCGGCUUUAAGCGUAGCAGAAUCUUUCGCUUUGGAAGUCGGGGCCCCGUCUGCCGGAAGACCUGCUCGCAAGGUUGACCUCGGAUCAGGCAGGGAUACCCGCUGAACUUAAGCAUAUCAAUAAGCGGAGGA